rnacentral:rRNA from 1 species
AUGAACGCUAGCGGCAGGCUUAACACAUGCAAGUCGAGGGGCAGCAUACCCGGCAACGGGUGAUGGCGACCGGCGUAAGGGUGAGUAACGCGUGAGCAACAUACCCGUAUCAGGGAGAUAAUACAGGGAAACUUGUUCUAAUAUUCCAUAAUAUUAUCCAGAGGCAUCUUUGGAUACUUAAAGUUACGACGGAUACGGAAUGGCUCGCGUGACAUUAGUUAGAUGGUAGGGUAAUGGCCUACCAUGACUAUGAUGUCUAGGGGUUCUGAGAGGGAGGUCCCCCACACUGGAACUGAGACACGGUCCAGACUCCUACGGGAGGCAGCAGUGAGGAAUAUUGGACAAUGGAUGGAAAUCUGAUCCAGCCAUGCCGCGUGCAGGAAGGCGGCCCUAUGGGUUGUAAACUGCUUUUGUACGGGAGCAAUAAGGUCUACGAGUAGAUUGAUGAGAGUACUGUACGAAUAAGCAUCGGCUAACUCCGUG